rnacentral:misc_RNA from 1 species
UGGAAGUAAAAGUCGUAACAAGGUUUCCGUAGUGAACCUGCGGAAGAUCAUUAAAAAAUGGUACUCUAUUUGUGAGUGCAUUAAUAAUCCAUCCUACCUUUGUGAAUUUGUUGUAUGAAAUAAUUUUUUUUAAAAAAAAUUAUUGAAUGUCUUUCCCUGUUGAAAAGUUGGUCGUAAGACUUGGAUUUUUCACAGGGGAUAGUCAAUAAUUUUUUAAAAGGACCUUUUUUUAAAUAAACUUUUUGUAUUCAUUUGUCUAAAAAAAUUAUUUUAUAAUAUAAAACAACUUUUGACAAUGGAUCUCUUGGUUCUCGCAACGAUGAAGAACGCAGCAAAAUGCGAUAAUAGUGUGAAUUGCAGAAUACGUGAAUCAUCGAAUCUUCGAACGCAUAUUGCACUUUUUUAGUUUACUAAAAAAGUAUGUCUGUUUGAGUAUCAGUAAAAUAUUCUCAUAAAAACUAUUGUUUUAUGGUUAUGAGUGUUUUACAACGAUACAAGUUGUUUCACUUUAAAUUUUUUUAAAAUUUGAAUUUUCUAAUUUUAAAUUAAAAUUGGAUAAAAUUUUCCUGUAAAAGGAAUAAUUAAACAAUUUUAAAUUGAAUUUAGAAAAUCCAAAAUAAAGGAAAAUUUAUUUACAAAAUAACUUGAUCUCAAAUCAGAUAAGAGUACCCGCUGAACUUAAGCAUAUCAAUAAGCGGAGGAAAAGAAACUAACAAGGAUUCCUUAGUAACGGCGAGUGAAGCGGGAAGAGCUCAAAUUUGAAAUCUUCAAGGUUUACCUUGACGAAUUGUAGUUUAAAGAAGUGUUUUCUGUUGAAGUUUCGGUAAAAGUUCUUUGGAAUAGGACAUCAUAGAGGGUGAGAAUCCGUAUUUGACCGUUAUUUUCAGCUGUGUGAUACACUUUCAAAGAGUCGGAUUGUUUGGGAAUGCAGUCCAAAAUGGGUGGUAAAUUUCAUCUAAAGCUAAAUAUUGGCGAGAGACCGAUAGCGAACAAGUACCGUGAGGGAAAGAUGAAAAGAACUUUGAAAAGAGAGUUAAACAGUACGUGAAAUUGUCAAAAGGGAAGCGUUUGACACCAGUGUUGUUUUCUCGAAAAUCAAUUAAAAAUGGCUUGAUUUUGUGUUGUAUUGACCUUAAAAGCUUUCUGCACUUUUUUCAUGUCUUUUUUAAUGCACUUUUCGUUAACAAGUCAACAUCAGUUUCUUUUGUUGUAAAAAGGUCAUUGGAAGGUGGCUUUCUUUUCGGAGAAGUGUUAUAGCCUUUGACUCCUGCAAUCGGAGAGACUGAGGUCUGCAGCGUAGAUCCUUCUUGGAUUAGAUUCAUUUGUGCUAAGUUAUAGCUUUUUAUAGACAACUUGUUGACUAUAUUUAGUCUUGUAGC